AGACCCGAAACCCGGUGAUCUAGCCAUGGGCAGGUUGAAGGUUGGGUAACACUAACUGGAGGACCGAACCGACUAAUGUUGAAAAAUUAGCGGAUGACCUGUGGCUGGGGGUGAAAGGCCAAUCAAACCGGGAGAUAGCUGGUUCUCCCCGAAAGCUAUUUAGGUAGCGCCUCGUGAAUUCAUCUCCGGGGGUAGAGCACUGUUUCGGCUAGGGGGCCAUCCCGGCUUACCAACCCGAUGCAAACUGCGAAUACCGGAGAAUGUUAUCACGGGAGACACACGGCGGGUGCUAACGUCCGUCGUGAAGAGGGAAACAACCCAGACCGCCAGCUAAGGUCCCAAAGUCAUGGUUAAGUGGGAAACGAUGUGGGAAGGCCCAGACAGCCAGGAUGUUGGCUUAGAAGCAGCCAUCAUUUAAAGAAAGCGUAAUAGCUCACUGGUCGAGUCGGCCUGCGCGGAAGAUGUAACGGGGCUAAACCAUGCACCGAAGCUGCGGCAGCGAACGUAUCACUUAAAGCGAUUCAGCGGGUUACGAUUGACGGAGCGAAGCGACGUCAAAGCGUAUACAAAGUCGAGUCGGUUUAAGGAUACGUUCGUUGGGUAGGGGAGCGUUCUGUAAGCCUGUGAAGGUGGCCUGUGAGGGUUGCUGGAGGUAUCAGAAGUGCGAAUGCUGACAUA
rnacentral:rRNA from 1 species